ensembl:lncRNA
CGAUUUGUUCAAAAACAAAGAUUCAUACCGGAAUGAAAUGAAGGGCUGUCUUUAUGAGCGAGUCACUGAAUCGUUCACUCGACCGAUUUGUUUAAAAACAAAGAUUCAUACAGGAAUGAAAUGAAGGGCUGUCUUUAUGAGCGAGUCACUGAAUCAUUAACUCGACCGAUUUGUUUAAAAACAAAGAUUCAUACAGGAAUGAAAUGAAGGGCUGUCUUUAUGAGCGAUCACUGAAUCAUUCACUCGACCGAUUUGUUUAAAAACAAAACAAAGAUUCAUUAAGGAAUAAAACAAUUGACUGUCUUUAUAAGAGAGUCAUUGAAUAAUUCACUCAGUUUCUUUACACAAACAUUCAGAAAAGAAAAACCACUACUGUGUGUUAAUCAUUUCAGAUGGCUAAUUAAAAACAAAAAUACUGGCAAUGUUGUGUCUUAAUGUUAGUUACUUGAUAUUAACUUCUUGUUUAUCAAACUUCUGUGUAAAUCCAGCAUCCCUCUGUCACCUGUGCUGUUGUACUGAAUAUCAGCACCCCACCGCUUUCCAAAACCAUCCGCAAAGCU